AACGAACGCUGGCGGCAUGCCUAACACAUGCAAGUCGAACGAGACCUUCGGGUCUAGUGGCGCACGGGUGCGUAACGCGUGGGAACCUGCCCUUAGGUUCGGAAUAACUCCCCGAAAGGGGUGCUAAUACCGGAUAAUGUCUUCGGACCAAAGAUUUAUCGCCUUUGGAUGGGCCCGCGUUGGAUUAGCUAGUUGGUAGGGUAAAAGCCUACCAAGGCGACGAUCCAUAGCUGGUCUGAGAGGAUGAUCAGCCACACUGGGACUGAGACACGGCCCAGACUCCUUCGGGAGGCAGGAGGUGGGAAUAUUGGAACAAGGGCGAAAGCCUGAUCCAGCAAUGCCGCGUGAGUGAUGAAGGCCUUAGGGUUGUAAAGCUCUUUUACCCGGGAUGAUAAUGACAGUACCGGGAGAAUAAGCUCCGGCUAACUCCGUG
rnacentral:rRNA from 1 species